GACGAACGCUGGCGGCGCGCCUAACACAUGCAAGUCGAACGGAGCGGAGAGAAGCUUGCUUUUCUUAGCUUAGUGGCGAACGGGUGAGUAACGCGUGGGUAACCUGCCCUGGAGUGGGGGACAACAGUUGGAAACCACUGCUAAUACCGCAUAAGCUCACGAUCCGGCAUCGGCUUGAGUGAAAAGGAUUUAUUCGCUUCAGGAUGGACUCGCGUCCAAUUAGCUAGUUGGUGAGGUAACCGCCCACCAAGGCGAGGAAUGGUAGCCGGGCAGAGAGGUAGAGCGGAGACAUUGGGACUGAGCAACGGCACAGACUCCUACGCGAGGCAGCAGUGGGGGAUAUUGCAAAACGGCGGAAACGAUGAUGGAGCGACGCCGGGUGGAGGAAGAAGGUUGUCAGAUUGUAAACUCCUGUCGUUAGGGACGAUAAUGACGGUACCUAACAAGAAAGCACCGGCUAACUACGUG
rnacentral:rRNA from 1 species